UACGUAGGGUGCGAGCGUUGUCCGGAAUUAUUGGGCGUAAAGGGCUCGUAGGCGGCCUGCUACGUCUGCUGUGAAAGCCCGGGGCUCAACCCCGGGUCUGCAGUGGAUACGGGCAGGCUAGAGUCCGGCAGGGGAGACUGGAAUUCCUGGUGUAGCGGUGAAAUGCGCAGAUAUCAGGAGGAACACCGGUGGCGAAGGCGGGUCUCUGGGCCGGUACUGACGCUGAGGAGCGAAAGCGUGGGGAGCGAACAGGAUUAGAAACCCCCGUAGUCC
rnacentral:rRNA from 1 species